UUUCAGUUAGUGUGCAAUGAAUCUAAAAUAUAUGAAUGUUAAAUUUUCAUCAUGACAUUAUGGAAAAUAAUGAACUUUAUCACAAUAUGCUAAUAUUUUGAGAAGGACCUGUAUUUAGGAGCCUGCCACCAGUCCUUCGUUGCCCGAGUGUUGUUGCCCAAGUGGUAAUAACCAAGCCAGUGAAACUUUGUCUGUCUGACUUAAACCUGAGCUAACAUUGUUGCUAUUUCUGCUUCCUGCUAGAAACCUGUGAGGUGUGGGCCAAACCUUCCAACCUGGACUCGAACUACCUGUACCCUCAACUACUGUUUGUGUAUUUGGAUUAUUCAUCUCAAGACUGUGGUUCGGUUCCUAACCCUCCUACUCCUGCCCUUGUGAGUACUCUGGCUGGCUCUGGACUAUAAUCUUGGACAACCAUUCUGGAUUGCCUGACUUCCAAACCCUGAUGUACCUUCCCCAUAUUUCCCUGCCCUGUGAUCAAUGGACCCUGAAGUCCCUGUCACCUUGGAUUCCGGAGGAACUCUAUUCGUGUUGCAAAAUAAAUCUUUGAACCUUA